UACAUACUGUGCGAACGUUAUUCGGAUUCACUGGGCUUAAAGGGUGCGUAGGCGGCGUGUUAAGUAGGGUGUGAAAGCCCGCAGCUCAACUGGGGAACUGCACUCUAUACUGGCGGGCUAGAGUGAGAUAGGGGUGUGUGGAAGUGGCAGUGGAGCGGUGAAAUGUGUUGAUAUUGGCAGGAACGCCGGUGGCGAAAGCGACACACUGGGUCUCAACUGACGCUGAGGCACGAAAGCCAGGGGAGCGAACGGG
rnacentral:rRNA from 1 species